CCGCUCCACAUUGUUCAACAACCAGCCUUCACUGCUUUUAUUGAUAGUCUGCAGCCUCGUUUCAGGGUUGUUGAUGUUGAUGCAAUGGAGGUGGAGGUUUAUGCUGUUUAUCAGAAAGAAAAAGAGAACCUUUUGCAAGCAUUCAGCGCUAUGCCUGGAAGGAUCAGCCUCACCAUUGGAUUGUGGACAACUAGUCAAACUCUUGGCUAUGUUUCAGUUUCUGGGCAGUUCAUUGACUCUGAAUGGAAAUUACAUCGAAGAAUGCUUAGCUUCAUGAUGGUGUCUUCGCCUCAUUCGGACAAUGCACUUAGUGAAGCUAUUAGCUCAAGCCUUACUGACUGGGGUAUGAAGGAGAAGCUAUUUACCAUCACGUUGGAUAAUGAUUC
rnacentral:rRNA from 1 species